GGACAGACCCUCUUCCUGCAAUGCCAGUACUCACCCAAGAGAGGGUCCUAUCAGCCCAAAUCCUGGUGUCAGCAGACAUCGCCAAGUCGGUGUACCUUACUUGUCACCAGCUCCAAGCCCCAGACAGCAGUUCAGAAGUCUCAUUACACAAUCUGGGACAAGCCAAAUGCUAGCAUCUUCAAAAUCACCAUGAUUCAGCUGAAGGAGGACUCGGGAUCCUACUGGUGUGAAAUCUACAACACUUCCAAAAACAUCAUCACUGUUCUCAGAGAUGUCAGCCUGGUGGUGUUUGCAGCCCCAACCACGUCUCCUACGUGGACCCUCACCUGGCUCCCAACAAACACAGAUGGGGCCAUCCAGUUGCAGGAAAACAAGCUCAGGGAUUCCACAGAUUCUGCAUUAUGGAAAUCAAGUGCCCCCAUCUGCCUUGGCUCAGCUGGCCCCAAACUCCUGGUCUCUGUGUUGUGUGGACUCCUCCUGGCCAAGGGCCUGAUGCUGUGAGUCCUGUUUGUGUUCCUGACCUGCAGGUGCCACAGGACAGCAGUGAUGGAGGUUUCUGAUUGUAUCAGCCCAGCCUUGCCCCAGGACCCUUGGGUGCAUGAGUCACAGCAUGGAUCCAGGAUGAAUCCCAGUUCUUCCCCUGCCCAGCUAUUGGGAGCUGCCCUAAGCGUUGCCCCCCAUUUGUCUGUGAGGAAAGGCCAGCACUAAGCCUAUUGGAGAGAACUUUCAGCCCCUGAUCUCCCUGGUGGUGACCCCUCACCCCUGCACUGACCCCUCUUAGAUCUACUUCCCCUGCCCUGACUUUCGCCAUUGGAAAGACCUGGGGUGGGGGUUUCUGCAUCCGGGUCAACGCUCAGCUCAGCAUCUUCAGCUGUGCCCGGGCUCCUCUCCAGCACUCCGUGGUUCUCUCAGCCCCACCUCAGCAGGUCUCCAGGAUGCCUCACAUUUUCCCUGUUUGUUAGUGGUCUACCCGAGAGUCCUAUCAAUUUCCUCUUGUGCUUGAUUAAAUUCAACCUCUGAACUGAAAUGUGUCAGAGGCAACUAAGCAAGAAAGCAGAUGUAUCCCCUCACCCUCCUCCCCUCCCACCCUAAAUGAGAAAGAAAUGACUUAAAAAUAAAUAAUAAAAUUGAAACUAA